ensembl:lncRNA
ACCAAGUGGUACCAGUGCUGAGCCGAUGCAGGUCACGUGAAAAAUGAACGAUGAACGAAUCAUUGACCCGAAGACUCGGUUGGCAGAUGAACGAAACAUUGACCCGAAGACACGGUCGGGAGGUGAACGAUUCAGGAAACAGUUACAUUAUUCCCUUUCACGUGACCGCUGUUUUUAGUUUUAAACGUGAAUUAUAUUCGUUCACAAGUCAUAAUGACUGGUUUUGUUAUUUUCACUUUACAUUUACACUUACAGUUUAGUGCAGUGUAAUAGUUAUGACGUGAUAAUUGAAUGCUAGUGUGAAAAUAAAUGAUCACUUCAAAUCAUCCAGACUGUAAUGAUACAUUAUUUUAAUGCAGGAAUUUAUCUUACCACUGACUCGAAAAAAGAUUUGUUCAUUUUUACUAAACGAGAUUCAAAGAUCCGAAUCGGUAAAAUGAUCCGAACUUCCCAUCACUACUAAUGGGCGGGGCUUCCGCGGUCCAGUUUAACAUAAAACCACUAAAACCAGUUGUGACGCUGUUUGCACACAAACCGACGCGUUGAUACGCUGAAUACAUGCGGAUUAAUGUGUCUAUGAUAACACAUAUUCUAUUGCAUUGUUUUAACUGAAGUAAUGUUUUGAUCUAAAAUCAUCUAUACAUUGAGAAUGAAUGUAGAAAUGACAGUACUUUCUUAAUAAAAUACUUUUUUUUGGCAAAUGACCGAGAAGGUGUUCGGUGUCCAGCCCACCGGGAGGAUCCCACGUAGUAACCGGGCACUCUCUUGCGCCAAUGGCGGACUUACACCCAGGAUCCGACCAACGUAACGGAGGCAUGUGACGCAUCUUGCGUAGGAGCUGCACAGAAUACAGGGCACCAUUUCCUUAAAUAAACCAAGCGAACCCACUGCACAUGCGCGCUCUGCAGAGGACGUUGUUAUCUCCUCGUCCCAUAAUCGCUCGCAGGUACCCAGCGGUGGAUGUACUGUAUUCUCCACGCAUCCAGGUGAAGAUGUCCUACAGUGCCAUGCUCGCCUUCCUUUCGGCCCUUCCUAUCUCUCUGGCAUGGGAUGCAUCAAGUAUAAGAGAAGAAGCCCAGAUUGUGUGUGCUGGGAGGGAAUUCCGUCUGCCGGUUUACUCCUCAUCCAGAAUGGUGACUUUUACACCAAACCCCGAGGGGCCACGCCGCGUCCUGCUGGACAAAACCAUUGUGAAGGACCCGCGGUUUGAGUGGACCAGAGACAGGAUGCUGGUUCUGAGAGAAGUGACUCACGAUGAUGAGGGGCUUUACGCCAUCAAACUGGUCUCUGGAUUCACCUACGAGGCCGUUCGUUUGAUUGUUUCAGAAUGCAUCAAGUCCUACCACGGAAAAUACGGCGAUAAGUUUGAGCACAGCAUCCCCGAAAACGGCUCCCUGCUGGAGUUCUCUCCCCGGGGCGCUCCGCCGGAGGCCAUGCCGGUCCUUCUGUGGAACCGGACCGACCCCGUGACCAGCGAUGCCGGCCGUGGCCGGCUGCGCGCGGGGAAAGUGUGGGUGGCUGAGAGGGUGACGCAAGCGGACCAGGGCAACUACACUGUGAGGGACAGCAAGGGGAGGGUCCUGCACCGCAGCUCCCUCAGCGUCCGCGGUGAGCAAAGGCGGAAGAUGACAGGAUGACCUUUAGGAAUUACCUCAACUUAAGGGUCCCGUCAUCUAUAACAUUUAUAUUUUAUCUUUCCCCCUCCACCUAACACCCUGCCAUGUCGUCGCAUUUCCUUCCUUCUCCACCCCUGUCUUUUGUGUUCAUGGUCCUGGGUGCAGAGCACUCCUUCAAUGUCACCCGCUUUACCAAGGAGUCUCUAAACCUGCCCCUCUUUCUUCCUGUCCCGCAUGUCCACCUCAUUUUUACCCCUACCCGAUUCCUUGACGAAUCCUCCCCGGGCCAUUUUGACCCCAAACCCCCCCGUGGUCCAGUGCAGCUGAUCCGUGAGGGCCACAUACUGGACCACGACAUGCGCUACAGGGGCCUCAUCUCGCUGGUCAGGAAUGGCAGCAUCAACGAGGUCGCCAUAGUGAGGCUGAAUUCAAGGCACGAUGGGUUUUAUGAAAUCAGGGACGUGGUCGGCAACCUGGUAUCCUCCACCUGGCUGCAGGUGAUUGAAAAGGGAGGCAGAUGGCGAGCGCUUCUCAGAUCCAUCACCGUCCCUUCUGGCUUGUUCGUGUCGCUGGUCGGUUUCAUCCUGUUCAUGAGGCGAUAUCCAAACUGCAGCCUGUCGCAGCUCGUCGCUGUCCUCAGAAUAAACCGCACGCCUCCAGCCAACCCUCCGAGGGUCAACAUCCAGGAUUACAGCCAGCCCAGCCCUCGGCCCUCCGGCUACCACGCGCACGCUGACCCGCCUGUAACGCCAAGAAAAUGCACCCCCAGCGCCAGUCCUACUCACGCCGGUUACUGUCCAGUUAUGGCAGGAACCGCCGAGAAUCAGGAAGCAAACACGUCGGCAGCAACGAGCUCCCCUCGUCCUCGUCGUCAUUCAACCUCGGAGCCGGACUCAUCUCACUACAAUGAGGAAGAGAGAAGGAUUUCCUUUUUGAUGCCCGGGGCUUCGGACUGUCUCCACUCCUCUGAAGACUGUGUUAAAUUCCAGAUAAAAAAAGAUGGGGAUAAUGGCAGGAGGAGCACGUCACGAGGUUACUUUUCCACUCUGCCACUAGACAGGGACACCUCUGAAUCCUGCAGUGUUUACACUUCAGAAAAACUCAACUUCUUAUAAAACACAGAACUGGAGCUGAAGGAAGAACAACAAGAAGAAAGAAGAAGAACAACAAGAUAUGGAGCAACUACAGUAUUGGAUUAUGAAAAUAAAUAACCCACCUGUGCCUUUAUGCAUAUUAGCCUAAUUUGAAUGGUAUGAUAAUUGCAUGCCCUUUUUUCAUGUUUGAGCAUUAGCUGAUCUGUCUCCUAUUUCACAUUUCUUGACGCUGAGGAUGGUGCUCCUGAAAUAUCCUGCUGUUACCUACCUCCAGACCCUCAGGACCAGUAUGAUCUGCACUGUAUUUGCUGAGUGUUGGUACGAGUGUGCUUGUGAUGUGAUGUCUAGGGCUACAUAGAAAUAAGAGUUGCGAUUAUUCAAAGGUUUACAAAAGGGAAUUCUAAAGUACUGUACAGUGAUAGAGAGAUUGUUUAUGUCUUUUUCCAUCCACCAUUUCCAAAUGCAACAACAAUUAAUAUCAUGUUCAAUGUCUGCUCAGCGGUUCAGUGGUUUUUCUGUGAUAGUGUAUUAACCCUCAAGGUAAUUGUAGUAAUAGCUUUGUGAAUUGUAACAUGAUCUACCACAUAUUCCAAUAGCCUGUUGUUCUAUAAACUCUGUGUAUGGGAUAAUAUCAUCACCAAAGCUUUCUAUUGACAAGAGAUUAGAGACUUUGGCUUGUGACAUUUUUGAACAUUCAAAACGUUACCUCUUAGACAAUAAAUUCAUGUUUAACACACACUUUUGAUUAUUUUCUGCUUUAAUGUACAGUAAGCUCGUUCGUAAGACAAUUGUUUCUUAUUUUGCUAUUUGCUUAUGAUUUACCUGUGAUUUAUUUGGAGGAAUUGUCAGAAAGCCCAACG